CUAAUUAGACUGGGCUGGUUAGCUCCAGGCUACCCCAUUAUAUAGUCAAAAAAUGUUUCCUUUUCCCUUCUCCUUCCUCCAAAAUAAGGCAUUUCUUCCUAAAAUUACACUGGUUUGGGAUGCACGACAGGUGAGCCUGAUCAGCAAAGUUUGGACACCUUUUCCCUCAGCCAAAGUCGGAGGCUGUUUGGCUCUGGGGUUCUGGCCUAGGCCCACAUCUAAUCUUGGUGGGAUUUGCUCCCCCUGCCAGAGAUGGACGUUUAAUCCUGUGUCCUGCAGUCUACAGAGAGGGAAGGGGAUUUACCCUUGGAAAUGAAGAAAAGCUGUUCAGGUGAGGCCAGGAACAAGGCAGGAAGAAUGCAAGACAGAUGGAUCCGUCCUGGUCGCCCAUCGAAACCCACCUCUCUGUGGGCUGAUUGUUGCAGCUCUGGGGAUAGGAUUGCACAAAGAGACCACCCUCCACGCCAGCAUCCUUCACCCAGACCGCAGAUAAUAAUAAAUGGA